rnacentral:rRNA from 1 species
AGCAGCCGCGGUAAUUCCAGCUCCAAUAGCGUAUAUUAAAGUUGUUGCGGUUAAAAAGCUCGUAGUUGAAUUUCGGGAUCAAUGUUUCGGUCAUGCCGUUGGUAUGUACUGGUAUUAUUGAUUUCUCACCUUCUAAAGAACCGUAAUGCCAUUAAUUUGGUGUCACGGGGAAUUAGGACUGUUACCUUGAAAAAAUUAGAGUGUUUAAAGCAGGCUCACGCUUGAAUACAUUAGCAUGGAAUAAUGAAAUAGGACAUCCGAUUCUAUUUUGUUGGUUUCUAGGAUCGAUGUAAUGAUUAGUAGGGAUAGUUGGGGGCAUUAGUAUUCAAUUGUCAGAGGUGAAAUUCUUGGAUUUAUUGAAGACUAACUACUGCGAAAGCAUUUGCCAAGGAUGUUUUCAUUAAUCAAGAACGAAAGUUAGGGGAUCGAAGACGAUCAGAUACCGUCGUAGUCUUAACCAUAAACUAUGCCGACUAGGGAUCGGAUGAUGUUAAUUUUUUAAUGACUC